CAAGCUAGUCGAGAGAAAUGGCGAUGACACUUUCUAGGCAAUGUUCGGGAUUGAUCUUGGAGUUCAAGAUUUCAGAUUUGGGGUUGAUUUUAAUAAGGAAAAAUGAAAGAAAUAUGGUGGAGAAUAUGUUAAAAAAUCUUGUGGCAAAAAGAUAAAAAAUAAAAAAGAAAGAGAUGGUAAAACUAGGUGUAGGCAACGAAAGCAAUGAAGGAAAGGAAAAAAAAAUAAAAUCAAAGAGAAGGGGAGAAG
rnacentral:lncRNA from 1 species